GGACGAACGCUGGCGGCGUGCUUAACACAUGCAAGUCGAACGAUGAACCUCGAAAUGCUUUCUUCGGAAAGAUUUUUGAGAGGAUUAGUGGCGAACGGGUGAGUAACGCGUGAGCAACCUGCCUUAGACAAGGGGAUAGCCUCGGGAAACCGUGAUUAAUACCCUAUGAGACUCCACUUACGAGUGUAAGAGAAGUUAAAGCUAUUGCGGUCUAAGAUGGGCUCGCGUCUGAUUAGCUAGUUGGUGAGAUAAAAGCCCACCAAGGCGACGAUCAGUAACCGGCUUGAGAGAGUGAACGGUCACAUUGGAACUGAGACACGGUCCAAACUCCUACGGGAGGCAGCAGUGGGGAAUAUUGCUCAAUGGGGGCAACCCUGAUGCAGCGACGCCGCGUGAGCGAUGAAGGAAUUCGUGUCGUAAAGCUCUGUCCUUGGAGAAGAUAAUGACGGUAACCAAGGAGGAAGCACCGGCUAAAUACGUG
rnacentral:rRNA from 1 species